AAAAUAUUUUAAAGCAGUAAAUGCAGUCAGUACAGAGAGAUCCCUGGGAGCCUUUCUAUUCAAAAAUGUGUGAGCUCAGGGCAGCGACUGCAAUGUAAUUUAGGGCAGUGUAUGCUUCAUAGCUUUGGAGAAUAUUGCUUCCCACUAAUGUUCCAUCAGAGGAUGGUAGGAUAGUAGUAAUUUUAGAAGGUGGUAUUCCUGUUUGUCUUACAUCGAAAACUUCAGAAUAAAUAAAAGGACAUAUCAACUGAGCAAGAAAUGUAACUAUGGAAAAGUACCAAUGAAUCUAAAUUUGAACUGAACAGAUACAAAAUCAGCAUGGGUGUAGGAAUAUUUUUAAGGAGGAAGCUACAGCAAAAGCGACUUCCCAGGGAAUGGACCUCACAGGCUUUUUAAUCAGUCUGCAGUGUGAAGACAUACUUCAAGAGGAUCCUUAGAAGUCUUGGACACGCUUACCCUUAUGUGGCAGCAUUCCUCUUGCUGAUGACACAAUUCCUGUGUGAAUCUGUUUACAAGAUUCUGAAAGCUGAACAGAGAAUUUUGGCACUGCACUGGGUAGGAAAAAGAAGGAAGAGGUUUCAUGGGCAGGGGAUGAAGGCUGUGGAGAAGAAGUGGGAAUUCAGAAAGGCAUAGCUUUGCAAGAAAUAGAUAACAUCAAGGACAUCAGGAGUGGGAGAGAUUGGACUGGGAGACUCAGCAGAUUUGGCACAACACAGCCACAUAGAGCAUGGACUCUAGAACCAGACCGAUUCAGUUCAAACCCAGACUUCUUUUGUUCCUCACACUGUGACCCAACAUGGAACUUCACCCCAUCAGUAAAACAAGGAUGAACAUAAACCCAACUCCCAGGGCUGUUAUGAGAGUUAAUUGUAUUAGUAUAUAUAAAGCAGUUGGAACCAACUCUAGCACAUAGGAAGUGCUGCACUGAUAUGAUAAAUUGGAGCUAUCAGUAUUUCUCAAUUCUUUAAUUAACUAACGCUAUCCAAAAAUAUAGUAUUAAAAGUUGAUUGUCCUAUUUUAAAAAAGCAAUUUUAUCUUCAAACUACUGUAUUCUGAAUUUUCUAGGGCUUUCUUCCUAAUUUCUUCAUCAUUCGGGAACUUUAAAAAGCAUAGGAACUUAAAGGAAACUAAUAUUAGAAGACAGUGGUCAACAUUUUUAAAAAAUAUAAAUGCAAUUAGGAGCUCAGCCCAAUGAGUGGAGUAUUCACUGGGCAGGCAAAGCUGGGGCAAAAUGGAAUUUUAUCUAAAAAUAAAAACCUUGAGAAAGUUUUUGGCUCUUGGUAA
rnacentral:lncRNA from 1 species